UACGUAGGGUCCGAGCGUUGUCCGGAAUUAUUGGGCGUAAAGGGCUCGUAGGCGGUUUGUCGCGUCGGGAGUGAAAACCUCGGGCUUAACUCGGGGCUUGCUUUCGAUACGGGCAGACUGGAGGUAUGCAGGGGAGAACGGAAUUCCUGGUGUAGCGGUGAAAUGCGCAGAUAUCAGGAGGAACACCGGUGGCGAAGGCGGUUCUCUGGGCAUGACCUGACGCUGAGGAGCGAAAGUGUGGGGAGCGAACAGG
rnacentral:rRNA from 1 species